rnacentral:rRNA from 1 species
UACGUAGGGGGCAAGCGUUGUCCGGAUUUAUUGGGCGUAAAGAGCGUGUAGGCGGUUAGGUAGGUCCGUUGUGAAAACUCGAGGCUCAACCUCGAGACGCCGAUGGAAACCAUCUGACUAGAGUCCGGAAGAGGAGAGUGGAAUUCCUGGUGUAGCGGUGAAAUGCGCAGAUAUCAGGAGGAACACCUGUGGCGAAAGCGGCUCACUGGACCAUAACUGACGCUGAUGCACGAAAGCUAGGGGGAGCAAACAGG